rnacentral:rRNA from 1 species
GUCGAGCGAGCUUGCCUAGAUGAUUUUAGUGCUUGCACUAAAUGAAACUAGAUACAAGCGAGCGGCGGACGGGUGAGUAACACGUGGGUAACCUGCCCAAGAGACUGGGAUAACACCUGGAAACAGAUGCUAAUACCGGAUAACAACACUAGACGCAUGUCUAGAGUUUGAAAGAUGGUUCUGCUAUCACUCUUGGAUGGACCUGCGGUGCAUUAGCUAGUUGGUAAGGUAACGGCUUACCAAGGCAAUGAUGCAUAGCCGAGUUGAGAGACUGAUCGGCCACAUUGGGACUGAGACACGGCCCAAACUCCUACGGGAGGCAGCAGUAGGGAAUCUUCCACAAUGGACGAAAGUCUGAUGGAGCAACGCCGCGUGAGUGAAGAAGGGUUUCGGCUCGUAAAGCUCUGUUGGUAGUGAAGAAAGAUAGAGGUAGUAACUGGCCUUUAUUUGACGGUAAUUACUUAGAAAGUCACGGCUAACUACGUGCCAGCAGCCGCGGUAAUACGUAGGUGGCAAGCGUUGUCCGGAUUUAUUGGGCGUAAAGCGAGUGCAGGCGGUUCAAUAAGUCUGAUGUGAAAGCCUUCGGCUCAACCGGAGAAUUGCAUCAGAAACUGUUGAACUUGAGUGCAGAAGAGGAGAGUGGAACUCCAUGUGUAGCGGUGGAAUGCGUAGAUAUAUGGAAGAACACCAGUGGCGAAGGCGGCUCUCUGGUCUGCAACUGA